CCGAGUUAUACACUCAUCAACCCUGUGAACUACCUAAAACGUUGCUUCGGCGGGAACAGACGGCCCUGUAACAACGGGCCGCCCCCGCCAGAGGACCCUACUCUGUUUUAUAAUGUUUUUCUGAGUAACAAGCAAAUAAAUUA
rnacentral:misc_RNA from 1 species